rnacentral:rRNA from 1 species
CCUACGGGGGGCAGCAGUGGGGAAUAUUGGACAAUGGGCGAAAGCCUGAUCCAGCCAUGCCGCGUGUGUGAAGAAGGCCUUCGGGUUGUAAAGCACUUUCAGUGGGGAAGAAAGCCUUGGGGCUAAUACCCUCGAGGAAGGACAUCACCCACAGAAGAAGCACCGGCUAACUCCGUGCCAGCAGCCGCGGUAAUACGGAGGGUGCGAGCGUUAAUCGGAAUUACUGGGCGUAAAGCGCGCGUAGGCGGUCUGAUAAGCCGGUUGUGAAAGCCCCGGGCUCAACCUGGGAACGGCAUCCGGAACUGUCAGGCUAGAGUGCAGGAGAGGAAGGUAGAAUUCCCGGUGUAGCGGUGAAAUGCGUAGAGAUCGGGAGGAAUACCAGUGGCGAAGGCGGCCUUCUGGACUGACACUGACGCUGAGGUGCGAAAGCGUGGGCAGCAAACAGGAUUAGAUACCCCAGUAGUC